CACAUUAGGGCCCGUCUGGUAGCCCUAAAUAGCCGUGAAAAACCAUUCGAAUUGGGUAAUUCUCCCGUUUGGUAGCAGCCCCUCCAAUCGGCCGACCCGGCAUACUCCAAGCGGGUUUCAAGGUUCUACAUACUACUAUCGGCAGAGGUGUGCUAGCACUAUCAGAGGAAGGAGUGGUGAACGUUAUUCCGCCUGAAUUUGCAAAGCUUCAGUGGUCGGCGAAGGCGUUUACCCAAUUUCGAAGUCGGCCGACAAUCCAAUCCGGUAACCGCCUCUUUUCAACUCCGGUAUAGUUGUCGUAUAUUCAUCCGGUAUGGAAGAUGCCAGGCAAAAAAGGCGUAAGGAGGUCGAGGCUGAGUAGUCAUGCUCAAAGCUUUCCUUUUGCAAAUUGAAGUGGGCGACUUCCUUGUUGGCAACCAGUCAACUGGUUUAUGUGAUGGUGGAAUUGCUGCUAUUGUGGACCGUUGGACAUCCUAGUGUACUGGUCCAACUGCUGUUAUAACUCAAAUCAAUCAUGCAAUUGGUGCAGAAGGAGUUGCGAGCGCUGAAUGUGCAACCUGAUGCAAUUUGUUCCCAGAUUGGUAUGUGCUUUUCCAACAGAGCUCAGACUGUGAGGUUUGUUUACCUUAACAUCUUGGUCCAAUUAUUGAUUUGAGAGUUCAUCCUAGUUAUUUGAUGUACUUACGGAACUGAAGUAUUUAUUUGGAAGCAUACUUUACAUGGAUAUCGUCAAUACUCCUCAUCCCGACCGAUGAUCGGCGGGACGUUGACUGAACGGCGAGGUUGAUUGUUUCUUAGAGGAGCCGCUAAUACAAUAAAGAAACCGAUAAUACCUAUUUAAGCUACCCAA